rnacentral:rRNA from 1 species
CUAGCGUUGCUCGGAAUGACUGGGCGUAAAGGGCGCGUAGGCGGAUGGCACAGUCAGAUGUGAAAUUCCUGGGCUUAACCUGGGGGCUGCAUUUGAUACGUGUGAUCUAGAGUGAGGAAGAGGGUUGUGGAAUUCCCAGUGUAGAGGUGAAAUUCGUAGAUAUUGGGAAGAAUACCGGUGGCGAAGGCGGCGACCUGGUCCUUAACUGACGCUGAGGCGCGAAAGCUAGGGGAGCAAACGGG